rnacentral:rRNA from 1 species
UGAGGAAUAUUGGUCAAUGGACGCAAGUCUGAACCAGCCAAGUCGCGUGCAGGAUGACGGCCCUAUGGGUUGUAAACUGCUUUUAUAUGGGGAUAAAGUGGGGAACGUGUUCCCUUUUGCAGGUACCAUAUGAAUAAGGACCGGCUAAUUCCGUGCCAGCAGCCGCGGUAAUACGGAAGGUCCAGGCGUUAUCCGGAUUUAUUGGGUUUAAAGGGAGCGUAGGCUGGAGAUUAAGUGUGUUGUGAAAUGUAGACGCUCAACGUCUGAAUUGCAGCGCAUACUGGUUUCCUUGAGUACGCACAACGUUGGCGGAAUUCGUCGUGUAGCGGUGAAAUGCUUAGAUAUGACGAAGAACUCCGAUUGCGAAGGCAGCUGACGGGAGCGCAACUGACGCUUAAGCUCGAAGGUGCGGGUAUCAAACAGG